GGAAGUGUGGCCGAGUGGUUUAAGGCAGCGGUCUUGAAAACCGCCGAUGGGUAAAACCAUCCGUGAGUUCGAAUCUCACCGCUUCCGCCA
rnacentral:tRNA from 1 species